rnacentral:rRNA from 1 species
GACGAACGCUGGCGGCGUGCCUAAUACAUGCAAGUAGAACGCACAGUUUAUACCGUAGCUUGCUACACCAUAAACUGUGAGUUGCGAACGGGUGAGUAACGCGUAGGUAACCUGCCUGGUAGCGGGGGAUAACUAUUGGAAACGAUAGCUAAUACCGCAUAAUAUUGAUUAUUGCAUGAUAAUUGAUUGAAAGAUGCUAUUGCAUCACUACCAGAUGGCCCUGCGUUGUAUUAGCUAGUAGGUGAGGUAACGGCUCACCUAGGCGACGAUACAUAGCCGACCUGAGAGGGUGAUCGGCCACACUGGGACUGAGACACGGCCCAGACUCCUACGGGAGGCAGCAGUAGGGAAUCUUCGGCAAUGGACGAAAGUCUGACCGAGCAACGCCGCGUGAGUGAAGAAGGUUUUCGGAUCGUAAAGCUCUGUUGUAAGAGAAGAACGGGUGUGAGAGUGGAAAGUUCACACUGUGACGGUAUCUUACCAGAAAGGGACGGCUAACUACGUG